rnacentral:tRNA from 1 species
GGCAGUUUAGCUUAAUGGUAAAGCACCUGACUGGUAAUCACAGAGAUGUGAGUUUGAGUCUCAUGGCUGGCCA